AGCAGCCGCGGUAAUUCCAGCUCCAAUAGCGUAUAUUAAAGUUGUUGCAGUUAAAAGCUCGUAGUUGAAUUUCGGGAUCAAUAUAUCGGUCGUGCCUUGGUACGUACUGGUAUCAUUGGUUUCUCCUUUCUGACGAACCAUGAUGUCAUUAAUUUGGUGUUAUGGGAAGUUAGGACUGUUACUUUGAAAAAUUGAGUGUUUAAAGCAGGCUUUGGCUUGAAUACAUUAGCAUGGAAUAAUGAAAUAGGACGUUCGAACCUAUUUUGUUGGUUUCUAGGAUCAACGUAAUGAUUAAUAGGGAUAGUUGGGGGCAUUAGUAUUCAAUUGUCAGAGGUGAAAUUCUUGGAUUUAUUGAAGACUAACUACUGCGAAAGCAUUUGCCAAGGAUGUUUUCA
rnacentral:rRNA from 1 species